ACGUAGGGUGCGAGCGUUAAUCGGAAUUACUGGGCGUAAAGCGUGCGCAGGCGGUUUGACAAGACAGGCGUGAAAUCCCCGGGCUUAACCUGGGAAUGGCGCUUGUGACUGUCAGGCUAGAGUAUGUCAGAGGGGGGUAGAAUUCCACGUGUAGCAGUGAAAUGCGUAGAGAUGUGGAGGAAUACCGAUGGCGAAGGCAGCCCCCUGGGCUAACACUGACGCUCAUGCACGAAAGCGUGGGGAGCAAACAGGA
rnacentral:rRNA from 1 species